rnacentral:rRNA from 1 species
GUCAGCAGUCAUACCACCUGCAGUUCUGAUCAGAUAAUUCAUCUGAAGCUAUGCAGGUUUGGGCCUGGCCAGUAAUGGAUGGGAAACCCACUAGGAAAGCUGGGUUGCUGUUGGGA